UACGGGGGGAGCAAGCGUUGUUCGGAUUUACUGGGCGUAAAGGGCGCGUAGGCGGUCAGCACAAGUCAGUUGUGAAAUCUGCCGGGCCGAUUAACCCGAAAGGUCAACUGAUACUGUGCGACUAGAGGUGCGGGAAAGGGGCAACUGGAAUUCUUGGUGUAGCGGUGAAAUGCGUAGAUAUCGAGAGGAACACCUGCGGCGAAGGCGGGUAGCUGGGCCGACACUGACGCUGAUGCGCGAAAGCCAGGGGAGCGAACGGG
rnacentral:rRNA from 1 species